CAGCCACAUCGUGUUUAGACUCCAGUUCCCAUACGAUCACCAAAGUUAAGCAACAUCAAGCCUAGUCAGUACCUAGAUAGGUGACCACUUGUAAAUACCAGGUACUGUAA